rnacentral:rRNA from 1 species
GACGAACGCUGGCGGCGUGCUUAACACAUGCAAGUCGAACGGAAAGGCCUUUUCGGAGGUACCCGAGUGGCGAACGGGUGAGUAACACGUGGGUGAUCUGCCCUGCACUCUGGGAUAAGCCUGGGAAACUGGGUCUAAUACCGGAUAGGACCGCACUUUAGUGUGUGUGGUGGAAAGUUUUUUCGGUGUAGGAUGAGCCCGCGGCCUAUCAGCUUGUUGGUGGGGUAAUGGCCUACCAAGGCGGCGACGGGUAGCCGGACUGAGAGGUUGGUCGGCCACAUUGGGACUGAGAGACGGCCCAGACUCCUACGGGAGGCAGCAGUGGGGAAGAUUGCACAAUGGGCGCAAGCCUGAUGCAGCGACGCCGCGUGGGGGAGGACGGCCUUCGGGUUGUAAACUCCUUUCGCCAGGGACGAAGCGUUUUGUGACGGUACCUGGAGAAGAAGCACCGGCUAACUACGUG